GAGGCUGGGAGCGGACCGCAGCCCACUGGAGGUGCCGGGGACCGAAUGCUGGCGUCUCCUCCUCCGUCUCCCAGAAUCUUUCCCUGGAAAAACUGGCGCCAACCGCAAGUUUAACUGAGGACCGAAUUAAAGCAUUAGAAAAGACAGUGGAAGUUAUUUCAUUUGUUUAACUUAAGGGGGUAGGAUCCCGGGAGCUAGGGUGUUUCAGGUCAUUGCCAUGUUUUCCACUGUUAAGCAAAUAGCAUUAUACACAGCUGCGGGCUGUGGCAAAAGAUAUAUUUUUAAAACUAUUGAAAUAUACUACAUAUACAGAAAACUACCUAUUAUAAAGCUUAAUAAGUUUUCAUCAACUGUACACCUCACAUAACCAGCACCCAGCUCUCCUUCUCUCUCCUGCUGCCCUGUGAAGAGGUGUCUUCUGCCAUAAUUGGAAGUUUCCUGAGGCCUCCCCAGCCAUGCAGAACUGAAGAGGAAGACAGAGCUCUUACCACAGGGAGGCAGAGAUGGCACAGCAAGAGACAUGCCUCCAGAAUGCCACCAAUGCCCCAGGACAGGCCCACCCAUCGGACCAGAUGUGAAAAGAGAGGCCCAAAGAAACUUGCCAUAAAUCAGAUCCCUAGGAGAUGGAGAAGCAGGAUUCAAACCCAGAAUUCUUAACCAGUACCCAGCAAUCUCAACAAUUACCCUCUACUGCCCCUUGGGCCCCCUGUCCCCAGGAGCCUGGCCAGCCAAGACUCACAUCCCCAGGUGAGUGGCAACCACCAGAAGUAGUUGUCUCAGGGCUACUGCCAGUUUUUUU